GAUGAACGCUGGCGGCGUGCCUAAUACAUGCAAGUCGAGCGAACGGACGAGAAGCUUGCUUUUCUGAUGUUAGCGGCGGACGGGUGAGUAACACAUGGAUAACCUACCUAUAAGACUGGGAUAACUUCGGGAAACCGGAGCUAAUACCGGAUAAUAUUUUGAACCGCAUGGUUCAAAAGUGAAAGACGGUCUUGCUGUCACUUAUAGAUGGAUCCGCGCUGCAUUAGCUGGUUGGUAAGGUAACGGCUUACCAAGGCUACGAUGCAUAGCCGACCUGAGAGGGUGAUCGGCCACACUGGAAGUGAGACACGGUCCAGACUCCUACGGGAGGCAGCAGUAGGGAAUCUUCCGCAAUGGGCGGAAGCCUGACGGAGCAGCGCCGCGUGAGUGAUGAAGGUCUUCGGAUCGUAAAACUCGGUUAUUAGGGAAGAACAUAUGUGUAAGUAACUGUGCACAUCUUGACGGUACCUAAUCAGAAAGCAACGGCUAACUACGUG
rnacentral:rRNA from 1 species